rnacentral:siRNA from 1 species
GAAUGUCUAAGAAAUGAAAGGCGC